rfam:Triticum urartu cultivar G1812 contig264658, whole genome shotgun sequence.
CAACUACUCCCUCUGUCCCAAAUUUCUUGUCUUAGAUUUAUCUAGAUACAGAUGUAUCUAAUACUAAAAUGUGACUUGAUACAUCCGUAUCUAGACAAAUCUAAGACAAGAAUUUUGGGACGGAGGGAGUACUUU